rnacentral:rRNA from 1 species
AUUCCAGCUCCAAUAGCGUAUAUUAAAGUUGUUGCAGUUAAAAAGCUCGUAGUUAGAUUUCUGGUUGAAGCGACCGGUCGGGCGUUGAUUCGUCUGCACUGGAGUCGGUUUUGGCCAUCCUCUAGGAAAGUGCGUCUGGUAUUAAGUUGUCGGGCGUAUGAUACUGGUCUUUUACUGUGAAAAAAUUAGAGUGUUUAAAGCAGGCCUUCGCCUUGAAUACAUUAGCAUGGAAUAAUAAGAUAGGACUUUGGUCUAUUUUGUUGGUUUGCAGACCGAAGUAAUGAUUAAUAGGGAUAGUUGGGGGUAUUUAUAUUCCGAUGUCAGAGGUGAAAUUCUUAGAUUUUCGGAAGAUAAACUUAUGCGAAAGCAUUUACCAAGGAUGUUUUCAUUG